GGGAGAGGGAAGAAGGCUGGGAGGCUGGGAGAAAGGGAGGCUGUGGAGACAAGAAGACUGAGAGAUUGGGAGGCACAGGAGUGCAGGUGCCCUUGGAGGCUAGGAGAAGGUUAUCAGAUCCUGCUGGAGCUGGAAUUCCAGGCUGUUAUGUGAUGCUGAGGACUGAAUUGCAAUCUCUGGAAGAGCGGCUGCAACUCUUAACUACCACGACGUCACCAUCUCUCCAUCCCUCUAACAAUGAGUUCUGACAAAUCUAUACGCACAGUUACAAGAGCGCUCCCACUGACCCCUACCAACAGCUCCUUUGCACCCUCUACAGAAUGCAGACAGGAUGGCUGGCACUGCAGCUGCUUUCAUGCAACCGCAGGGGAAAGCAAGAGAACCUACACUCUGACGUGCUUGUGGUGCCAAGUCAAUGCCAGACACUGUCUGCACCUGGGUUGACCAUGUGAGAAAAAUCACCGCAAGGAGCAAGUGGGAAAGUUACAUAGGCAAAUGGAUGGGAUCGCUGGCGAUGGAUGAUCUUCUGGAGCUUGAACAAAUGCCCCAGGAAGGUUCCAGAUCUCACAGAUUCCAGGUCACAAAAGUAUGCUUCUAAAAAUAGUAUCUGGUCUUACCCUUGAAGCACAGGCAUCCUCUCUCUACGCAGCUCUGCAGCUCUCUUGCAAAGGACAGAGCACAAAGUACUGGGGACUUCUGCUCAAGGGCAAAUGAUGGACAGGAAAUGCAGUCACCGUAACAAUGCUGAGGAGAGAGCAGGGAACUCUGGCCAGCAUCAGAAGGUGGGCUCAGCCAGCGGUUACCAAAGGUCGGCAGCCUACCUGUCUGGGAGUCAGUACACUCCAGCUGUAACCGGCCACUCAUGGUCCUGUUCCCUGUUGAGUUUCUUGCCUUCAGUGGACAUUAGUCACUUCUAUCAAAUACACCUGGGAGGUGCCAGACCUUCUCUGCACCCGGAGUUCAGAGCCAACUUGGACUGAAAACUACAGGGAUGUGAGCCACCAGACUCCUUGCACAAGGACUCGCUCCUCUCACAUCCAGAUGGAUAGAUAGCCUAUGGGUUCAGUGAGCAGCUUGGAGGACUCUUCCCUGCAGGACCACAGUCCUCUGUCUUCUUGCCCAUUUCAUUGAGAACUGGAAGGGUAAUUCAUCAGGACCUGACACCCAAUGGGGAAACAUACUCCCUGUGUCUUUUCCCCAAGGCUUGAGCCUCUGAAGGCCAAAGAUGGAGGAGGACUCCUUGCCUUUCUUUAGCUCCAGAGACAACAACAGAGGCCAGGCAUGCAUGUGUGGAAGACAAUUUGCAGUAGUCAGUUCUUUCCUUCUACCAUGUGGGUUCCAAGGAUUGAACUCAAGUGAGUUUAACCAGGCUUGGCAGGAAGUGCCUUUACGUGAUAAAUCCUGCCAGUUCCCAAAAUUCUGUAUCUUGCAUGUGAGCACGCAUAGCUUUGUACUUAUGAGAAAUUGUAGCUGUGGCUAUAUGAACACUGCAUAUCUGUACCCAUGUUCACAUAUAGUGCUUGAGCAUUCGAGCCUAUUCUGUGCGUGUGUUGUACAGGUGUAUACAUCUCUGUGUGUGCCUUCUCUGUGUGUGUGUAGCUUAUGCUGUCUCACAAGGAGGGAGCCUUGCUCCCCUGCACUCAGGCCAGGGGGUGAUUAAGAAGUCUGGGAUUUCCAUCUAACAGGCUGCCGAGCUAUGGAAAUGGCAGAGCCAAACCUGAAAGACAGAUGAGUUCAUUUCCAGCUUUUGCUGUGAAUCGGUGGUUCCUGGAAUGGCUAAUGGCCCAGAGAAGCAACAUUUGCAUCUAGCAGAGAGAGAGAGAGCCGCCUCAAGAGGCACAGCUGAGGGGUGAUUUAGAACAGCUAUUUGGGAAUGUCUACCAUUUUCCAAUAAUGCUUGAGAAAUCGCUUCUCCCGAGAAGACAAAUUUCAAGUGGGCCUGGGGGCUGGAGAGGAUGUAGGUUCCCCGAGGCUGAGCAGCCAUGGGCCUUGGAAAAAGCCCAGGACUCUGACCACCUCUAGGCAGAUCCACUGCAUCUAUUGAUUGUCUGCUGCCUCCCCUUACCCGCUCCAUGCAGGUGGCUGUCUCCUCCUUCCCUCCCUCCCUCCCUCCCUCCCCCAGGGU